rnacentral:rRNA from 1 species
UACAGAGGUGGCAAGCGUUGUUCGGAAUUACUGGGCGUAAAGCGCACGUAGGCGGUUUGUUAAGUCGGAUGUGAAAUCCCUCGGCUCAACUGAGGAAGUGCAUCCGAAACUGGCAAGCUUGAGUACGAAAGAGGGUCGCGGAAUUCCCGGUGUAGAGGUGAAAUUCGUAGAUAUCGGGAGGAACACCGGUGGCGAAGGCGGCGACCUGGGUAGAUACUGACGCUGAGGUGCGAAAGCGUGGGGAGCAAACAGG